AUUAGAGCUCAUUUUAACAUGCUUCUGGCCUCUUUGCCAGGAUAUCUUUUUCAUGGAAAUGUAGGUGCAAGGAGGAGACAGUUGGAGAACAAAGGUGGAUGGACAUGUGAAAUGGGAUUCUGAUGAGCCCUGGACAUGUCUUUGCACCAUGGAUUAAUCCUUAUGUACACAAGCAGCUGGUACUGCAACACAGACAUCCACUGAAUAUGGAGUUAGAAAAGUGUGAGUUUCCAAGGCCGUUAAUGAAUUGGCAUUAAAUAGCAAAAAUUUCAGAAAUACAAAAAGAGCUACUCUGGAAUUUCAGGAAAUGCCAAUCCAUGGAAGAGGAUGCAAAGUCACAGUGGCACUUUGGCAGGGCUUGUAAAAUUUAUUCAGGGAUAGGACACUGGUAGGACAUGUGCAUUGCAACAGCAACAGAAGGCAUGUAAAUCACAUGUGCCAGACAUGACACCUGGAGACAUCUGUAGGCCCUUUAGACGGAAAGCAGGUCGUCAGUGUCAUAUGUCUUCUCAGGGGGAGUCUAGGAAGCCAUGGCUAAGAAGAAGUUUCUGUUGCAUGGGUACAAAACCCUACUUAAUGAGUAAUUCUCAGUGGUACAAAACUAAUUACAGGGCAGCAGUGGUUUAACUUGGUCUGUCUUGGAUCUGGUACUAUUUAGUAUUUUCACUAAUGGUCUGGAUGAUGAAAGAUAUUACGCUUACUAACUAUUCAGAUGGCACCAAUCUGUGAGGCAUGGUACAUGUGGGGAAGAGCAGGACAGACUGCAAUUUUGUUCUGUAUCUCAGAAGUCAUCGCAUGAGCAAUCCUGUCAUCACAUAGUGCUAUCACAUGUGUUCAGAGAGCCUGAUACAGGUUUCACCCACACACUAGCAGGGGCAGCAAGCAGUAUAGCUGGUUAGUUGCUGACAUGGUCAUGGCUGCUAGAGUUCCUUGUAUCCUAGAAAGUCAUGGGGCUUUGCGAGGCAAGGGGCUUAGAGACAGCAUAGACAGCAGAGAUGACCUGCGAGGACUUCCACAGCAUUCCAGCACUUCUGGUUUUUUUUUUUAUUAUUGCUUAACUCACUAAAUUGUGCUGUAAUUCACUUCAAGAACGAUGCAAAAAGGAUUACCUGCCUGAGUCCUCUCUUUUAUGUCUCCUGGAAAUGUCUAGAAAGCAAUGAAAUUGAUGCUUUAAUAUGUGUGGAAAUUCAUGAAAAUAACAGGAUUUAAUUUCCUAAUAUAAUUGCUGAAUUGAUUUGCGUAUGCAGGAAACUGCUUAGAUUUUCUCAGUGGCAAUAAUAAGAAGUCUAAUGGAAGAUGAAAGGUUCAAGGAAAUGAGAACAAAGCACACUGGAAUCCAGGAUACAAUUUCUUUCCAGAGAGACUGAGUUUUUUUUUCAUGUCUUUAGGACAUUCUGGCAGUUUGCUGUGGCUGUGUGGACUGCUAACUUAAGAACUGCUGCCCUGCAUUUUGGAUAAAAUUAAGAAGCACUGGUCACCUGGAAAGAAACUUCAUUGUCAUGAUUUCCAGAGCAGAGCUGCAGAAGUGCUUAGAUAACCUGCAGAGAAACAAUGUCUCUCCUGCAUACUGGUGUGAAGCACAUUUCUGCACUCUAAGGUCUCUGUGGAAGCCUAGGAAUCUUCUGGCUACAGUGAAGCUGCUGCCACGUGGAUUCUGCUGGCCAUUUUGUGGAUGAGUGUUGUCUCAUUUACUUGUGCAGCCUGUUGAUCCUCCCUUGCACACUGCUGGCACUAUGAGUUUUCUGCAGCAGAGGCUGGUUUCUUGUCCUGUGAUACUCCAGCAACCAGCACAAUGGGGACUCUGGUCAUGGUUGAGGAUGUAGGGGGCACAGUACCACAAGAAGUAAUACAGACACUGUGAAACAUGUGUUCAGAAUAGCAGAAUAACCAAGAACAUUUUGCAGACCUCUGUGCCAAGGCCUGAACUUUGUUCACUCAUCUGUUGAAUUUUCUUAGUGACAUGCUCAAUUACACACCAGUGCCCCUGGCCCCACCCCUCCGGGGUUUCACACCGAACACAACACCGGCAGCCUCAGUGCCGCGCUCCUGGUCUCGAACCCUGGGCUCAAGCAAUCUGACAGACUCUGCCUCCGGACGCAGCUGGGACAGCAGGCGCACGCCACCGCGCCCGGCAACUGGACUGCGAGCUGGCUGAAGGGAAGAAGCCAGAGAGUCGUGGUCAAUGGUGCAGAGUCUAGUCAAGGCCAGUAUCUAGUGGAGUGCCUCAGGGAUUAGCAAGAAACACAACACACCUUUGGGAUACUCCUGUGGUUGCUUCUAUCAUCUUGACGUUUGAUCAUGCAUGGUUCCUCUUUAUGAACUUUAGGACAGUUUUCCAUGAAUGUGCUAAACAUCUUUGAUCACAUCAGCAAUGCCUAAAUUCACUGUCAGCCUUUCUUCCUCGUGGGAAGAACUCCCCACUGAGCUUCAGCCUAUUAACUAAGGUCAGAAAGGACACAGAACAGUUAACAAGGCUAUUUUUUUUGGAAAUUGUACUGUUGUGGGAACCAAUGUAGCAGCUCUGAUACUGAAUAUUUUUAAGAUAACUCACUUUAAUUUAUCAGCCUAUUCUUUAACCUAUUAUCUUUUUAUGCAGUCUAUUAGUGAGUUUUCCUGGAGGAUCUGGCUUAGUGUGUUUGCACACAAAAUAACGAGCUUGUUGCAUCUGUCUGGCACAGCCACAGCACGGUCUGUUUUGUUUGGUUGCGGAGUGAAACCUCAUGAGUUCAUGUCUGACAGAAAAAAAAACCAAUCAUUCUCUUAGAGCCACCUACUGCUUUUGCCUCUCUGGAGGUUUCUGGCUUCCUCCAUUCCUGUUCUCAGCUGCUCCUAUCUGACAUGCCAUGUGCUGGAAAGCAUCUCAUUUGGCAAUGUACUCUGACUGGAGAUUCAUUUAAUCUAUAUCUCUUUUUUUAAAUUGUAUUUAAAUUGGUAGUGGAAUAGUACCAUUCAAUAACAAAAAUGGAUGUAUUUCUGAAGAAAACCUAGACAUCCUUGCAAACGCAGCAUGGUCUAUUAGGAUAAGUGACCUAUAAAUACAACAAGAUAAUGAGACAUUCUGACUUCACAGUGUAUCAGAUUAAUUGUAUGAGCUUCACUUAAGGAACACCAGCCAAAAUAAAGGAGUCCAAAAGAAAAGCAAAAAUCUAUCAAAGUAUGGCUGAAAUGGUCUUAAAGUCUACUUGGCAAAAGAAGUUACGAUAUUUUCCAAGCUGAACUGAGAGAAAUGUCAAGAAGGUGAGUGAGUGAUCUCAGAAUGAGUGAAGGAAUUCAAAUGAGAAAUGCAAGACCAAUCCAUUAAUUCUCAUCCUAUUUCUCUGGUUAGAUUCAUCUUCUGCAGUGAAAACCAUAAAUUUAGAAUUGUGAUUGCCAAAAAAAGGGCAUUACUUUUAAUUCUAUUCUAAGGUGCUCAUCAGGAGUGUUGAAUAUGUAAAGUUUUUCACAUGUAAAGACCAAGUUGCCAGCUGCUGAGUUAUAGCAAAAACGUCUUCUUCCUUCCUUAAGCAAUUUAAGGAUUGAUGCAUUAGGCCUUUCAUGAUAUGGAUCAAUGAAGGGAACAAUCAUUAAAACUGUAAAUCCUAUGCUUUUGAAAUAUGACCUCUGCUUUCUUUGAUUAUCCACAGAAGCCCGUACUGUGUCUUGAAACACUAACAAAGCCUAUCUUUCACUGUUAAGUUAAUUGCAGUAGUGGUGAGCUACAUUACUGCUAUUAAUAAAUCCCAGACUUGGUGCAUCUCAGUGAUUCUAGGAGAAGCAUAAUCCAGGCAGAGUCUGCCUUUCUUCUGAGAGCCCAACUGAAGAGGUUUCAAAUCCUCCCUGUUUCAGGUGGUGUGCAUAGAAGACAUGCACAUGUUCCAGCUACCUCCAGUUCCUCACAAGUGUAACUAUAGAUAGUAAGCGUAAGGAUUUUUUUAAUGAUAUCAACCUUUUUUUACCUAAAAGAUAUCUCUCCUGCAGAAGCGCCUUGUGUUUCAGUGGGACAGAUUGCAGUUUGAUUUAUUUCUGAGGCUAAAUAAGAACAUAAAAAUCUAAUGCCAAACAUGAGUAACUUGUUUAGCCAUCUGUACCCCACUCACAUAAUUAAGAUCUCCAAUGUCUCUGUGGAACAGUUUUCUCCAUGUGUUUCCUCCAUGAAGCCUCUUAGAGCACAAGUGCCUUCCUAUUACAAGCUUUCUGUUUAUCCAUAACCAAAUGAAGACGUGACGGUGAGAUUUGCCUCACAACUGCUGAUAUUUGCAAUGUGGAUACCUACUGCUAAUGUGGUUACAACUUCAAGACCCUGGUUCCCCACAUCCUGAAGCAGAUGCCACAUCUGUUAGAUGGAUCACCUCUAAAAGCCUGACAGUGACUAACCCAGAUGUAAAUGACUUGUCUGUAGCUUGUUGAAGUGUUUUCAGAUGACUUCCAGCAUGUUUUUCACAUAAAGAGCACUGCUAAACAAGAAAGAGGAUAGCAGAUCUGCACCUUAAUAAGAAUGAGACAGAAUGGUGUUAACCUCUUUUUACUAUGUGCUUUAAAGCAUAGCCUAGCAUGAGAAUAUGUAUUUCUGUUCACAUGAUAGAAAUAAUUCAGCCUUACAGAUGUGGAUAGAGAAUUUAACAAUUAGUGAUAUCUGCACUGGGAGACACUGGGAUCCUGGCUGGCUAUGCCCUUUUCAGCACCAGAGCUAGAAGCAUCAGGGGACGCAGUAGUAAGAUGCCUAUCACUGAAGAAUCAUGGAUGUGAAUUUAAGUUAAUACUGUCUGCAGAAAUCGUCUGAGUGUCUCUGUCUGGGAAAUGAAGGGAAGGAGAGGGAGGUAUUUCAGAGAAGGAUAGUUACAUGUGCCAUUGAUUAUGUCCUUGAAAUAAAUCUGAAGAAAAAUACUAGUCCUUGCUCUUUGGCAUCUUCCACAUUUCUGUUUGAUCUGUGAAUGCUGAAUGGCAGUAUUCCUGAUUACCACAGGAGAGGAAAAGAAGUGGAAAAUGUUGUCUUUUUUUCUCAAUUAAAGGUGUGAUAUGUACCAAUUUAAUAGGUGAUCAAUGCUAAUGCACAUUUAGGAGAUACUGCUAUUAUAUCAUUAAGUCUAUAGCAGCCCAUGAAAGGGCAUGCACAUGACUGGAAUUCAUAUUAUGAUGUUCUCCAAAGCUUUUCUGAUACCAAGGAACUCUUUUUCACCAGCUCUAAUCAAUAGUUCAAAUUCUGACAAUAAAAUCAGUCCCUGGACUGAACAGCAUACUGAAUAAGAAAAUCUGCAGUGUGCUAUCACAGAGAAAAACUGCAGCAGUGGAAAUCUGCCCUUAUUCGUACUAAGUCUUCCUUUUUUCUUAUAUUAUUGCUAUAAACUACCUCACCAAAAAAAAAAAAAAAAAUUCUGCUACUAUUAUCAAAUCUAAUGCCUUCUCUUAGGAGACAUUCUGUCUGCUCUCACAAGAGCACCUACAUACUUCUUCAUCCUGGAGCUCUAAGGGCUUCAUCUGAUAUAAAAGCAAUCAAGUGAACUGAAUCAAUGUGGCUGAAUAUAAAUACUACACUUAGUAGCAGAGUCUGCUGCAUAGUUAUCUUGGAUGCCAAGAGGACUGUGUUGCCAUGAAAACAAAUACAGACUUAAGCUGUCCUUGCUGUGCCACACUACUGUUCAGAAACCUACACAAGAGUUAGAUAUUCCCACUAUUGUGUUUCUUCUCUCACCCUCAUUGUGGUGAAAUGGUGUCCCAGCCCCUCUCUGCUUCUGAUUAGAAGUCUGAGUAUUUAUCUACAUUCUGAAUGCAAGCCCAGCUGGUUGUGGCAGUGUGCUUUUGUUGCAGCAGAAAUGCACAUACUUAUUGACCCUACUGAUGGCUUUCCUUAGAAGUAACAGCAGUUAUGGAUUCAUGUGAGUUGUGGCCCUGUGAUGCUCUUGGCUGGCUGUGCUGGGACAUCAUCCCCAUACACCUCCCACAGAAAGUCAUCAUCCUGGCUGGAUCUCAGGGAGUGAUAAGCCUGGGAGGGGUGUGUGGAAACCAAUACCUCUGGAUGAGGAGGAGAGGCUCAAACACCACAGAACCUCACAGAGGUAGCAGCUGUGCUGCAAGGCAAAGGGGGGGACAAAAUGGUGAGAAGCAGCUGCAUAGGCAAGUUGAGGAGAAAAAAUUGGAUCAUCUCUAGUUCUUUAUCAGCAGACCAAAGAUGUGAUCUCUUCUGAAGAACAGAAGUGCCUGCUGAGCUCAGGCACUUUGUUGUUAACAGCACAGGAACAUCAACCUUGUCCUGUUCAGUUGCUCUCAGAUUUAUACCAAGCCUCUGCAGAACAGUGUGUAGAUGGGAUGCCUAUAGACAAGGGUGAGCAGUGUGCCAGACAAACAGAAAACAACCAUUUGUCCUGUGAAAAUUUUUGACUUCUUACUUCUGAUAAAUUUUAUAUAUCCAAGGUUUUGUAGUGGCUGGUUUUCAUGUUUUGUCUCCUUUGGGGUGGUAAGCCUUGCUGUGCAGGUUUAAAUUGCUCUCUUCCAAGUGAGGUCUCACCACUCCAGGAAGGGUCACAUGAGGCAGUAUUAUCAGGCUUUCCCAGGAGCUAAAUAGCAGCCUGGAAUAAUGCAAAGAGCUCUAGAGGAGGCAGCCAAGCAAUGUCUGAAUUUAGCUUUCUUCCUCCUUCCCACUGGGCUGCAACACCAUCUGGCAUGUCUACACCAAUCACCUGCACUCUGCUGUAUGGAAAGUCAUAAUACAACUUCAGGGAUUUUCUCUGAGCCUCCAAAAUAUCCUUCUGUUUCCCACCUCCCCUUGACAUCCAGGUUUGCUGAGUGGCCCAGCGGAUUAAGCUUUGUAGUAUUCUCUGGAUGUCAGAGCUGAAGACACCACCAUGUGUGUGCUAGUGUUUUGAUAACUGCAGUUUUUGUCUUGGUUAAAAUUAACAAAGCAAAAUUGAAGACCUAAGUUUAUAUUAUUCCUAG